GUAGCGAUGGAAGAUAAUGAAAAGUUAUCCAGCCAUUCAUCACUGUCUCCUUAAAAUUACGACAGCGACCCGAACAUGUUUGACGCUGCGUCCCCUUAAAUUAUCAUUUGCAUGAUCCCCGGUUGAUUAGAUUCGUGCAACCGUUUCAGCUCCUUGCUCCGUCGAGUGAGGAUUCCCUAUGGCUGACUAUAAACGGACCAUUCUACUGCGCGAAGUCGAAUCCUGUUCAUUGAUACACCGCCCACUGUUUAUGUAUGCACUCCAAAAGAAAGGUAAUUUUAACGAGGAAUAUGUUACGUUUUAAGCCUAUCUUCGUUCGACUAAUGAAGAGGGGUAUUAUUUAUAUAUACUUAAAAUGAUUUGUUUGCUGAGUAAUAUCAACAAAUCGUUUCUUUUCUUGUUAUGUGUAAUGAAAGAAUGAAACAGAAAUAUCGUGCAUCACACAAAUGUAUAUAACAAAAAUGAA